UACGUAGGGGGCAAGCGUUGUUCGGAAUUACUGGGCGUAAAGGGCUCGUAGGUGGCCAACUAAGUCGGACGUGAAAUCCCUCGGCUUAACCGGGGAACUGCAUCCGAUACUGGAUGGCUUGAGUUCAGGAGAGGGAUGCGGAAUUCCAGGUGUAGCGGUGAAAUGCGUAGAUAUCUGGAGGAACACCGGUGGCGAAGGCGGCAUCCUGGACCGACACUGACGCUGAGGAGCGAAAGCCAGGGGAGCAAACGGG
rnacentral:rRNA from 1 species